rnacentral:rRNA from 1 species
GGGUCAGUAGGUUGGUCGUGCCACCGGUACGUACUGGUCUCACUGAUUCCUCCUUCCUGAAGAACCGUAAUGCCAUUAAUUUGGCGUUGCGGGGAAACAGGACUGUUACUUUGAAAAAAUUGGAGUGUUUAAAGCAAGCUAACGCUUGAAUACAUUAGCAUGGAAUAAUGAAAUAGGACGAUCGAUCCUAUUUUGUUGGUUUCUAGGAUUGACGUA